UACGUAGGGUGCAAGCGUUGUCCGGAAUUAUUGGGCGUAAAGAGCUCGUAGGCGGUCUGUCGCGUCUGCUGUGAAAAUCCAGGGCUCAACCCUGGACCUGCAGUGGGUACGGGCAGACUAGAGUGCGGUAGGGGAGAUUGGAAUUCCUGGUGUAGCGGUGAAAUGCGCAGAUAUCAGGAGGAACACCGGUGGCGAAGGCGGAUCUCUGGGCCGUAACUGACGCUGAGGAGCGAAAGCAUGGGGAGCGAACAGG
rnacentral:rRNA from 1 species